rnacentral:tRNA from 1 species
UCUUCUUCAGUAUGAGGGUACAUUUGCCUUCCAAGCAAAAAGAUUAACACUAAAAGAAGCA